rnacentral:snRNA from 1 species
CGUCUCUGGUUCCUCUGCAUUUAACGAGAAAAUCUUUCGCCUUUUACUAAAGAUUUCCGUGCAGAGGGACAUUAUGAGUUUUUGACAAUUUUUGGAGUCCCAGCUUCGGCUAGGGA